AUGACUAUGGCGAAAUUGGUAGACGCGAUUAGUUUAGGUCUAAUUUAUAGAUAUAUAAUAUGGGUUCAACUCCCAUUAGUCAUA
rnacentral:tRNA from 1 species